UUUGUUAUGUUUUAUCGCUUCCCCUGUUUUUUGUCUUUUUCUCUCGGUUUCUUUUUGUUCAAUUCCGCCUUUUCUCAAUCACCAAACGCCCCUACGCUCCCCGGCCUUGUAAAAUAUCCUAGAAUCCAGGCCAUCGACUCACCCAUUUUUCUCACACGGAUCUGUUGUUUGUUUCUUUACCCUUUACUUUCUGGCGGAUUCGGGGCUCACUGUAUCAGAUCUGGCUCCGAUUGACCGUAUAUAUGGUGAAUUCGAGCACUCUCUGGGGCGCAAAGUGGAGUCAGAGAGUGGCAAACUAGGGUUUAGUUUUUACUGAGUGCGCGAGAGACCGUGAGUGUGUGCGCGUGUUUGAUUGUGGUUUUCUAUUGUGGCGGCCAUGCAGAGAGUGGCCCAGUCGAGCGUGACAACCUGCGUUGCGGGCAGCUAUAGCUCGUGUAAGGCCAGUGGUGCUUCUGGUUCUGAUCCUGAAGUUAUGGGGUAUGAGCAGUUCCCGGCGGGCCUUAGGGUUCUCGUGGUCGACGACGACGUCACUUGUCUGAGGAUUAUUGAGCAGAUGCUCCACCGGUGCCGGUAUAACGUUACAACUUGCUCUGAGGCUACUGUUGCUCUGAAUCUCCUACGUGAGAGGAAAGGUUGUUUUGACGUUGUACUGAGCGAUGUACAUAUGCCUGAUAUGGAUGGUUAUAAGCUUCUAGAGCAUGUUGGGCUAGAAAUGGAUCUUCCUGUUAUUAUGAUGUCUGCUGAUGGGAGAACAAGUGCUGUCAUGAAAGGAAUCAGACAUGGGGCUUGUGAUUAUUUGAUUAAGCCUAUACGAGAGGAAGAGCUUAAAAAUAUCUGGCAGCAUGUUUUGAGGAAAAAGUGGAAUGAAAAUAAAGAACUUGAACAUUCUGGCAGCUUAGAAGAGAAUGACCGGCAUAAACGAGGAAAUGAUGAUGCUGAAUAUGCUUCCUCUGCUAAUGAAGGAGCAGAGGGAAUGAAAGCUCAGAAAAAAAGAAGCAAUGCUAAAGAUGAAGAUGAUGGCGAAUUAGAAAAUGAUGAUCUGUCCACAUCAAAGAAACCACGUGUAGUGUGGUCUGUAGAACUCCAUCAGCAAUUUGUCAGUGCUGUGAACCAACUUGGGCUUGACAAGGCUGUACCAAAGAGAAUUUUGGAAUUGAUGAAUGUACCUGGUUUAACUAGAGAAAAUGUUGCCAGCCAUUUGCAGAAAUUUAGGCUGUACUUGAAGAGAUUAAGUGGAGUAGCUCAGCAACAAAGUGGAGUUUCUAAUACCAUCUGUGGGCCUAUGGAUCCAAAUGUGAAACUGGGUUCACUUGGACAAUUUGACAUCCAAGCUUUAGCUGCUUCUGGCCAAAUUCCUCCACAGACACUCGCAGCCCUGCAUGCUGAGCUUUUAGGUCGACCAACAGGUAACCUGAUGUCAGCAAUGGACCAGCCAGCUCUCCUACAAGCAUUGUUACAAGGAUCCAAGCAUAUACCCAUUGAACAUGGAGUGGCUUAUGGUCAGCCUUUGGUAAAAUGCCAAUCCGACAUUUCAAAACACUUCCAGCAAUCAAAAGUUUCUUCUGUUGAAGACAUUUCCUCUGGAUUUGGAGCAUGGCCAUCCAAUAUCCUUGGUACAGUAGGACCUAGUAACAAUCUUGUUGGGCUGAGUGCUCAGAAUACCAACAUGUUGAUGGAUUUGUGGCAGCAGCAGCAGCAGCAACAACGACAGCAGCAACAAGAAUUGCAGCCGCAGUCUAUUCUUUCUGAGCCCGGCUGUUUAAUCAAUGUGCAGCCAUCUUGCUUAGUGGUUCCCACUCAGUCAUCUGCCAGUUUGCAGGCAGGAGAUAGUCCUGCUUCAGUCAGUCAGAAUUGCCACUUUAACCAGAGUUCUGUUAUUGAUUACAGUCUUGUUUCAUCUCGAUCAAAUAAUUCUUCACUGAAUAUUGCUCAAUUCUCAAAUGGGGGUCUUAAUACUACGGCGGGUGUGCCUGGUGGCUACUUAGCCCCAGGUUCCAUUUCAUCUCCUAUGUCCUCUUGCUCUGUAAAUGCCAAUAACAACUUGGGUCAGCAAGGUCAAAAUUCGACCAUUACAUUUAGUGCUGCCAGACAGUUGCCAGGUUUUGCUCCUAAUAGGCAUGAUAUUCAGGGUUCUUAUACUGCAAAAACUGUUGAAAUGGUUGAUCAAGGACGUCUUCAGAAUCUUGGAUUUGUCAGUAAAGGGACAUGCUUUCCAAGUCGAUUUGCAGUAGACGAGUUUGAAUCACCAAUGAGCAACUUAGGCCACGGAAAAUUAUAUGUGGAUAACAACAGAGUGAAACUGGAGCCAAAUGUUGAUUUUAUGGAGAACACAAAAGUGGGCAUCCCUAUAUUACACCACUUUUCGUCGAAUGAUGUCACGAGUGUUUUUACAGAAUAGAUGCAGUUUAUUGGAAUGCAGGUGGCAUAGCAUCUUAGUGAGAGUUACUAAGGCAAGGUGGUUGUGGGUCGUGUUUAUUCCAUAAGUAGUGACAACUGCAUUGGCAUGGCUUUUGAUGUGCGGGGAGCUUGUGAUGUGCAGUGAGCUUGUAGAGCAGAUGCUUAUUAACAUGUACGAUUAAUAAUCCCUUGUGUCAUCUUGUCAAAUAUUCGGUAGGGAUUUUUGGCUUAAUCUUUCAUACGUUUAGUAUAGAUCUGAUUGCCAGUGUCUGAACCGAACUCUGCACUGUGGAGCUUCUUAGAAGUUAGAAUGUAUUCUUUGUUGUGAACGUCUCUGGUAUGCUUGGGGACAACGGACAGGUUCACAUGCGUUUAGGGAAGUAGGAUUACCUUUUUAAUUAGUCUCUAGGAGCAAUAAGUUCUCAGACAACAGUGUCAAUUGGGUGUACAACAUGGUGGCAUCUUGCCAACAUAAUUGUGUAGUUUUUAUGUUUUAAGAUAUUGAAAUACCCAUUUAUUUACUACUAGUUGUAAAUAUAAAUUAAGUUUUUAUUCCU